rnacentral:sRNA from 1 species
GCCGGGUGUGGUAGUGCACGCCUGUAGUCCCAGUGACUCGGGAGGCUGAGGUGGGAGAAUCACUUGAACCCGGGAGGUGGAGGUUGCAGUGAGACAAGAUUGCACCACUGCAUUCCAGCCUGGGUCACAGAGUGAGAACCUGUCUCUU